rnacentral:rRNA from 1 species
CGAAAAAUAAAAAACGCUCUCUCUAGCAGUUGCCUAUUUCCUCCCGGAUCUCUUCCCCGGUCGCCGGACGCCGGACGCCGCCUUCCCGCCGCCGCCGUCGCCGCAGCGUCACAGAUAAAUAAGAACAAGAUGGUGAUUAAUGGUGAUGCACCUGCAAGAGGGAGUGCAGCAGCUGCGGCAAGCUUGCGCAGACGUAGAACCACCAGCGGUGCUGCUGGAGGUGGUGGUGGCGCCAGUACAAUGCUUCAGUUCUACACUGACGAGGCUGCUGGGCGCAAGAUGUCGCCAAAUGCUGUUCUGAUCAUGAGCAUAGGGUUUGUUGCCGUCGUUGCUGUGCUCCAUGUUUUCGGCAAGCUGUACCGUUAG